rnacentral:lncRNA from 1 species
CCUUUAUUGUCGGCUUCCAUAUAUACUACGUCGUUUUCUUUAAAUUAUAAAUCCACAGUCUGAUUUCCUUGGUUUUUUUUCUCAAGCCCCAAUUUUUCAAUCUUAUGCUCUUUUCCAUCGAUUUUGUUGUGGCUGCAGUAGUUAUCACACGAUUCUAAAUCUUACUAUUCUUCCUUGACAAUGAUAUGGGUUUGCGAUAAUGGGUUACAAGUUCAGCUUCUUCCAUGGCCGUCGUAUUGCUCCUCAAUCCUCAUUUUAUACAACCUUUUCCCUUAUUUCGUCCUAGUAAGUUUCCCAUGAAAUUGAACGUUUACAUUAUAUCUCUCUUCCUUUCCCUGUUCUGAUUGUAGGAUUUAAAAUGUUGAAAGACAAGACGUGGGUCCCAAUCCAUUUCUUUGUCAUUUGAUUUUGACUUUUGUUUUUCAUGUUCCAGUGGGUAGCAUGUUAUUGUGGUUUAACUUAGUAGUGGUUUGAAUAGUUUGCAAAAAGUUACAGUAACAUGUCAAAAUUCUUUUUAAUUUAUGUGAAAGUUGUAUUAGAUUGAAUGGCUUGUACACUAGCAGAAGGUAACUGACAUUAUAUAUGUUAUAGUUCUUGUUUAUUGGAAUGCAUAGUAGGUGUUUGAUGUAAUGUCUAAAUGAAAUAAGCCACUAAAAAUACAUAAUAUAGCAGUUUAUUAUCUAAGUAAAGUGGAUGCAGUUGAAAUUAUCCAUCUUUUAAAAGAAAUAAGCUACGAAAGUAUGAAGUUUAUAGUAUGCAAUGGAUAUUUCAAUAUGUUCGUUGUGUGUAUAUGCUAUUUAAAAGUUUUCCAAUUUCCAUGACAGUCAAGGAUGCUUCGUGAGGGAAGAUCGUGCAAGAAUCUAGGAUGUUUGACAAAUUGCCAACUUGAAGAACGAGGGACAUGAAAAAAACAACUGAAAGCAACAAUUGAUCAGAGUUGAAACUCGCAGCAACCCAAAUUUUAGCUACUUCUAGUUUUUUAGUUGGCGGAUUCUUAUUUGUUAGCUUGGAUUUUUUGUACAUCAAAAUUUUUUCUAAAUUCAGUUUUUUUUAGUUGGUAAUUUUCUAAGGUGAGUUCUUUUCAUUUGGGGAAUUCUAUAAAACAAUUCUUAUUGGUGC